GAUGAACGCUGGCGGCGUGCCUAAUACAUGCAAGUCGAGCGAACGGACGAGAAGCUUGCUUCUCUGAUGUUAGCGGCGGACGGGUGAGUAACACGUGGAUAACCUACCUAUAAGACUGGGAUAACUUCGGGAAACCGGAGCUAAUACCGGAUAAUAUUUUGAACCGCAUGGUUCAAAAGUGAAAGACGGUCUUGCUGUCACUUAUAGAUGGAUCCGCGCUGCAUUAGCUAGUUGGUAAGGUAACGGCUUACCAAGGCAACGAUGCAUAGCCGACCUGAGAGGGUGAUCGGCCACACUGGAACUGAGACACGGUCCAGACUCCUACGGGAGGCAGCAGUAGGGAAUCUUCCGCAAUGGGCGAAAGCCUGACGGAGCAACGCCGCGUGAGUGAUGAAGGUCUUCGGAUCGUAAAACUCUGUUAUUAGGGAAGAACAUAUGUGUAAGUAACUGUGCACAUCUUGACGGUACCUAAUCAGAAAGCCACGGCUAACUACGUGCCAGCAGCCGCGGUAAUACGUAGGUGGCAAGCGUUAUCCGGAAUUAUUGGGCGUAAAGCGCGCGUAGGCGGUUUUUUAAGUCUGAUGUGAAAGCCCACGGCUCAACCGUGGAGGGUCAUUGGAAACUGGAAAACUUGAGUGCAGAAGAGGAAAGUGGAAUCCCAUGUGUAGCGGUGAAAUGCGCAGAGAUAUGGAGGAACACCAGUGGCGAAGGCGACUUUCUGGUCUGUAACUGACGCUGAUGUGCGAAAGCGUGGGGAUCAAACAGGAUUAGAUACCCUGGUAGUCCACGCCGUAAACGAUGAGUGCUAAGUGUUAGGGGGUUUCCGCCCCUUAGUGCUGCAGCUAACGCAUUAAGCACUCCGCCUGGGGAGUACGACCGCAAGGUUGAAACUCAAAGGAAUUGACGGGGACCCGCACAAGCGGUGGAGCAUGUGGUUUAAUUCGAAGCAACGCGAAGAACCUUACCAAAUCUUGACAUCCUUUGACAACUCUAGAGAUAGAGCUUUCCCCUUCGGGGGACAAAGUGACAGGUGGUGCAUGGUUGUCGUCAGCUCGUGUCGUGAGAUGUUGGGUUAAGUCCCGCAACGAGCGCAACCCUUAAGCUUAGUUGCCAUCAUUAAGUUGGGCACUCUAAGUUGACUGCCGGUGACAAACCGGAGGAAGGUGGGGAUGACGUCAAAUCAUCAUGCCCCUUAUGAUUUGGGCUACACACGUGCUACAAUGGACAAUACAAAGGGCAGCGAAACCGCGAGGUCAAGCAAAUCCCAUAAAGUUGUUCUCAGUUCGGAUUGUAGUCUGCAACUCGACUACAUGAAGCUGGAAUCGCUAGUAAUCGUAGAUCAGCAUGCUACGGUGAAUACGUUCCCGGGUCU
rnacentral:rRNA from 1 species